rnacentral:tRNA from 1 species
CGGGAGGUAGCUUAGUAUUAAGCGUUGGGCUUUUAACCUGAAGACGGACGUGGAGGUCCCCUCUUGG